UGGGGCGUAGCCAAGCGGUAAGGCACCGGUUUUUGGUACCGGGAUUCGCAGGUUCGAAUCCUGCCGCCCCAGCCA
rnacentral:tRNA from 1 species